AUACCUUUCUCGGCCUUUUGGCUAAUUAAGAUCAAGUAUAGUAUCUGUUCUUAUCAGUUUAAUAUCUGAUAUGUGAGUCAUUGACUCACACGAUAUUAACUCUAAAGGUCCACCACGGUAGCUUGCUAUUGGGACCUUCAAGAGUCGCCUUGAACUAUGAUCCUAUAUAUA
rnacentral:snRNA from 2 species